rnacentral:rRNA from 1 species
UACAGAGGUGGCAAGCGUUGUUCGGAAUUACUGGGCGUAAAGCGUGCGCAGGCGGUUUUGUAAGCCAGGUGUGAAAGCCCCGGGCUCAACCUGGGAAUGGCAUUUGGGACUGCAAGGCUGGAGUGUGGCAGAGGAGACUGGAAUUCCUGGUGUAGCAGUGAAAUGCGUAGAUAUCAGGAGGAAUACCGAUGGCGAAGGCAGGUCUCUGGGCUAACACUGACGCUCAUGCACGAAAGCGUGGGGAGCAAACAGG